rnacentral:rRNA from 1 species
GAUGAACGCUGGCGGCGUGCCUAAUACAUGCAAGUCGAGCGAACGGACGAGAAGCUUGCUUCUCUGAUGUUAGCGGCGGACGGGUGAGUAACACGUGGAUAACCUACCUAUAAGACUGGGAUAACUUCGGGAAACCGGAGCUAAUUCCGGAUAAUAUUUUGAACCGCAUGGUUCAAAAGUGAAAGACGGUCUUGCUGUCACUUAUAGAUGGAUCCGCGCUGCAUUAGCUAGUUGGUAAGGUAACGGCUUACCAAGGCAACGAUGCAUAGCCGACCUGAGAGGGUGAUCGGCCAGACUGGAACUGAGACACGGUCCUGACUCCUACGGGAGGCAGCAGUAGGGAAUCUUCCGCAAUGGGCGAAAGCCUGACGGAGCAACGCCGCGUGAGUGAUGAAGGUCUUCGGAUCGUAAAACUCUGUUAUUAGGGAAGAACAUAUGUGUAAGUAACUGUGCACAUCUUGACGGUACCUAAUCAGAAAGCCACGGCUAACUACGUG